UAUGGUCACAAACUAGAGUAACUAACAAAUGUUUCUGAUAUGACCAGGGGACCAUAAUAGUUUCUAUGUAAAGCUGGUUUCAAGUUUGCAAUUAAGGGAUAACUCAUGAGACAACUGGUUCAAUGUUGACUUGGACACUUUAUCUUCCAAGUAAGCUAAUAGUGUAAACCAUAAUUAGUAGAAUAGAAGAGACUUUAGUCAGAAGUAGGAAUGAAAAUUUCUAAUUUUUUUACAGAAUAAGUUAUUAUUUUAAUUAGUUUGCCUUGGUUUGAAAUAUUGUAUGACAUUUGGUAUUUUGGAUGAUGUUGAAUUUUAAUGACAUUUGAUUAUAUUAUGUAAUUGUAUUUUGGUUGAA